UGGGGAAUAUUGCACAAUGGGCGCAAGCCUGAUGCAGCCAUGCCGCGUGUAUGAAGAAGGCCUUCGGGUUGUAAAGUACUUUCAGCGGGGAGGAAGGGAGUAAAGUUAAUACCUUUGCUCAUUGACGUUACCCGCAGAAGAAGCACCGGCUAACUCCGUGCCAGCAGCCGCGGUAAUACGGAGGGUGCAAGCGUUAAUCGGAAUUACUGGGCGUAAAGCGCACGCAGGCGGUUUGUUAAGUCAGAUGUGAAAUCCUCGGGCUCAACCUGGGAACUGCAUCUGAUACUGGCAAGCUUGAGUCUCGUAGAGGGGGGUAGAAUUCCAGGUGUAGCGGGGAAAUGCGUAGAGAUAUGGAGGAAUACCGGUGGCGAAGGCGGCCCCCUGGACGAAGACUGACGCUCAGGUGCGAAAGCGUGGGGAGCAAACAGG
rnacentral:rRNA from 1 species